rnacentral:tRNA from 1 species
GGUUGUGGCUCAGUGGUAGAGCACUUGCCUAGCAUGUGCCUAGCAUGGGUUCAAUGCCCGGCACCA